rnacentral:rRNA from 1 species
AGCAGCCGCGGUAAUUCCAGCUCCAAUAGCGUAUAUUAAAGUUGUUGCAGUUAAAAAGCUCGUAGUUGAAUUUCGGGGUCAGUAGAUUGGUCGUGCCACUGGCAUGUACUGGUCUUACUGGCUCCUCCUUCCUGAUGAACCGUAAUGCCAUUAAUUUGGUGUUGCGGGGAGACUGGACUGUUACUUUGAAAAAAUUGAGUGUUUAAAGCAGGCUAACGCUUGAAUACAUUAGCAUGGAAUAAUGAAAUAGGACGUUCGAUCUUAUUUUGUUGGUUUCUAAGAUUGACGUAAUGAUUAAUAGGGAUAGUUGGGGGCAUUAGUAUUCAAUUGUCAGAGGUGAAAUUCUUGGAUUUAUUGAAGACUAACUACUGCGAAAGCAUUUGCCAAGGAUGUUUUCAUUAAUCAAGAACGAAAGUUAGGGGAUCGAAGACGAUCAGAUACCGUCGUAGUCUUAACCAUAAACUAUGCCGACUAGGGAUCGGAUGAUGUUAAAUUUUUUAAUUGAACUCA